UUUACCCCGCACCGCAAAUACCAUAGAAUGGCAAAUGAAAACUACAACUGCCAACUGGACGAGUUGAGCGGAUGUCGGUAAUUAUCUGCUUGUAAAAACAAAAGAUCUGAUACUGGAACCAAAUCAGUCUUCUAGAGAAGCCUAAUCCUCGAGAAGAUGUGAAUCGUGUACCGUUAUUUAUAGAAUAGUUAAAGCAGAUAUGGAAAAGCAGCGCAUACAAAUCUGUCCAUGCCCCUUCUCUUCUCCUGCAGCGGAGCGGCCAGUCAGCCUCCCUGGGUCCUAAAGCUGCGCUAAAUAUUCCCUCUGCCACAGGAGGAGUAAAACAAUUGAAAAUGAAGCCAUUUCAAACUCAAACAUGUUUUAACGAUCUGAUGUAUUUCUAGAAUAAUAACUAAGGAUAAAACCUACCCCCCUUCUGUCAAUCACUUUGAGGCCGGCUGUUUGAAAUGUAUUGAGUCGACAUGCAGGGCCCUGCCAGCUAACCGUCCCUCCAUCUGCAUUUUAACAUGCCUGUCUGGGCUGAGUGUGCUGACCAGUGUGGUAAUGGGGUAAGUACAGGGGUAAUGGGGAACUCCAAUCAGUCCUAAUUCUCCCCACAUACUCAUCAUCCCACAAUGCACAGCUGCACACUCCUUCAAGGGCCUGUUCUUCUUCUCUAUGUAUAUAUUGUUUAGAAGGGUGUAGUAGUCAAUACUGGGUCCAUCUUCAUUGAAUUAAAUAGGGGUUCCUUUCUGCAGUGUUUUUAGAUGGAUAGAUUUGUAAUUACAAUGACGCUUGAAUAUAUUGUGGAAUAAUUAUGUUCAAGGUCCCUGUCUGGAUAGCAGGUUGAGAUGAUGAAGGACUGUCAAUAAGGCAUGUACUGAUGAGAUGCAAAGGAGUAGAUUACACUAGUAAAGCCCACCAAUCAGAACAGGUAUUGAAAUGAAAUAAUGAAACAAGGGCAUUUGUAUAACAAGUACAAAGAGCAAACAGCUGGGAUGCUGGCAACUGAGUUGCAAUAAUUUGAACCCAGAACAGUGUGAUGGUCAUGGAAGUGGCCCUGUGUUUCCUACUGCAGUGCCGUUGCUGGUUCCGCAGUGUGUCAGAUCCUGAGAGCCAGUCAUAGUUCAGAUCCAUUUACAUUCACUGGGUGUGCUUGGGACGGAACAGGAAACUGAAGAGUCAGCUGCUGAAUUCAUGUUUGAUAUCCGAAGGACAAGCGCCUACAUCUGCAACUUGCUAAUGAUAAUACAGAGAAUGCAAUGACGCACGAUGGUGUCGAUGGGGAACAAAUGAAACGCUGAUCUUGACUUGUGUUGAUUUUUUUGACUACAUCUGACUGGCAAAACAAGUGAAAAACAAUGUUUCUCCAACACACGUUGUCAUGACGUUACACACCCUGAAUGAAUUCUGUUUAACUGUGCUGUAGAGGUUGAGAGGGAUUUUUAAACUAAAAAGUCAAAACAUGGGAAUGGUAUUCUACUGGUACAGUGAUUGCUGCUUAGUGGGAACAUGUUAGAGAGUUAAACUUCUCACUGAUGGUGAUGCUCACUGACCAGUUAAAACAAAAUGUUAAAUACAAUUAACUAGUAAAAAUGCUGAUGGGACUUUGGGAUCGUCCUGAUCAUACUCAUGCUGCCAGGUACAACUCUUC
rnacentral:lncRNA from 13 species